UACGUAGGGUGUGAGCGUUGUCCGGAAUUAUUGGGCGUAAAGAGCUCGUAGGCGGUGUGUCACGUCGGCCGUGAAAACCUGCAGCUUAACUGUGGGCGUGCGGUCGAUACGGGCAUCACUGGAGUUCGGCAGGGGAGACUGGAAUUCCUGGUGUAGCGGUGAAAUGCGCAGAUAUCAGGAGGAACACCGGUGGCGAAGGCGGGUCUCUGGGCCGAUACUGACGCUGAGGAGCGAAAGCGUGGGGAGCAAACAGG
rnacentral:rRNA from 1 species